GACAGCGCCCCGGGAGAAUCCUGGGGGCCACCCGACUUCGGUAGGGUUUAGAGUCGUCAGGCCUCUCGGAGAAGCCUGGUCCAGACCUCCACCCUUGAAUAAAUUACCUUUGUUGCUUUGGCAGGGCGCCUCGCGCCAGCGGCUUCGGCUGUUGAGUACCUGCCAGAGGACCACAACUCUUGUUUUUAGUGAUGUCUGAGUACUAUAUAAUAGUUAAAACUUUCAACAACGGAUCUCUUGGUUCUGGCAUCGAUGAAGAACGCAGCGAAAUGCGAUAAGUAAUGUGAAUUGCAGAAUUCAGUGAAUCAUCGAAUCUUUGAACGCACAUUGCGCCCUCUGGUAUUCCGGGGGGCAUGCCUGUUCGAGCGUCAUUAUAACCACUCAAGCUCUCGCUUGGUAUUGGGGUUCGCGGUUUCGCGGCCUCUAAAAUCAGUGGCGGUGCCUAUCGGCUCUACGCGUAGUAAUACUCCUCGCGUCUGGGUCCGGUAGGUCUACUUGCCAACAACCCCCAAUUUUUUACAGGUUGACCUCGGAUCAGGUAGGGAUACCCGCUGAACUUAAGCAUAUCAAUA
rnacentral:rRNA from 1 species